UACGUAGGGCGCAAGCGUUUAUCCGGAAUUAUUGGGCGUAAAAGAGCUCGUAGGCGGUUUGUCGCGUCUGCCGUGAAAGUCCGGGGCUCAACUCCGGAUCUGCGGUGGGUACGGGCAGACUAGAGUGAUGUAGGGGAGACUGGAAUUCCUGGUGUAGCGGUGAAAUGCGCAGAUAUCAGGAGGAACACCGGUGGCGAAGGCGGGUCUCUGGGCCGAUACUGACGUGAGGAGCGAAAAGCGUGGGGAGCGAACAGG
rnacentral:rRNA from 1 species